GAAAUGCGAUAAGUAGUGUGAAUUGCAGAAUUCAGUGAAUCAUCGAAUCUUUGAACGCAGAUUGCGCCCCUCGGCAUUCCGUGGGGCAUGCCUGUUCGAGCGUCAUCUACACCCUCAAGCUCUGCUUGGUGUUGGGCGUCUGUCCCGCCUCCGCGCGCGGACUCGCCCCAAAUGCAUUGGCAGCGGUUCCUUGCCCCCCUCUUUGCGCAGCACAUUGCCAUUCGAGGCGGCGGCGGCCCGCGUCCAACAAGCUCAACCCCCCCGUCUUUGACCUCGGAUCAGGUAGGGAUACCCGCUGAACUUAAGC
rnacentral:misc_RNA from 1 species